ACCACAUGGACCCCACAAUGUCCCCAUAACCACAUGGGCCCCAUGACCCCACGACCACAAGGUCCCCAUGGCCAUAUAGCCCCCACGACCACACAGACCCUAUAACCACACAGCCCCCAUGACCACAUAGACCCCACAACCACAAGGUCCCCACAACCACAUGGCCCCCAUGACCCCAAGACCACACAGCCCCCAUGACCACACAGACCCCAUAACCACACAGUCCCUAUAACCACAAGGUCCCCAUGACCCCCAUGGCCCUCACAACCACACAGACCCCAUAACCACACAGUCCCCAUGACCCCACAGCCCCAGACUGGGGUCCCCACCGACCCUGCUGGCCCGCAGUAAGAGGAAAUGAAUUUCCUGACAGGCAAUGCGUGUUGAGAGCCAGGACCUCGGAUUCCUAAGAAGAGCAUUGGGGAAACUCAGCCUGUCCCCCAAGUGAUUCACCAGCCAGCUUUGCAGAGAAAGUCCCAAAGUUGUCCAGGAGUUAACUGUUGGGUUUGGGAUUUCAGAGUGGCUGCCACGUCCUUUCCUGAAUUCCUGGGUGCCCAGAGCAGACACUGCUGCUCUGCUUUUCUGUUCCUUAGAAAAGCCACUUCCCAGAUGGAUGUGACUUCUUAGGAGGUAUUUGCUUAGCAAUAGGCAUAAAUCUUCUGCUCUUCACAUCGGUCUGGUUCUGAAGUAGCGAAUGCUCCCAGGCAUGUCAGAGUACAGCAAAUCCAGAGCUGCAGACACUGCAUCCAAACUAAACUGGGGCUGAGCAGGCGGGGAUAUUCCUGGAUAAGCUGCUGGAAAGCUGAGGUUGCCUGGUGAGCCAGGAGUGCUGCUUCAGGAGGGAG